GUGGGGAAUCUUGCGCAAUGGGCGAAAGCCUGACGCAGCCAUGCCGCGUGGAUGAUGAAGGUCUUAGGAUUGUAAAAUCCUUUCACCGGUGAAGAUAAUGACUGUAGCCGGAGAAGAAGCCCCGGCUAACUUCGUGCCAGCAGCCGCGGUAAUACGAAGGGGGCUAGCGUUGCUCGGAUUUACUGGGCGUAAAGGGCGCGUAGGCGGACAUUUAAGUCAGGGGUGAAAUCCCGGGGCUCAACCUCGGAACUGCCUUUGAUACUGGCUGUCUUGAGUUUGGGAGAGGUGAGUGGAACUCCGAGUGUAGAGGUGAAAUUCGUAGAUAUUCGGAAGAACACCAGUGGCGAAGGCGACUCACUGGCCCAAUACUGACGCUGAGGCGCGAAAGCGUGGGGAGCAAACAGGAUUAGAAACCCUUGUAGUCC
rnacentral:rRNA from 1 species